rnacentral:rRNA from 1 species
GACGUAGGGCGCGAGCGUUGUCCGGAUUUAUUGGGCGUAAAGAGCUCGUAGGCGGCUUGUCGCGUCGAAUGUGAAAUCUCAGGGCUCAACUCUGACAUUGCAUUCGAUACGGGCAGGCUAGAGUUCGGUAGGGGAGACUGGAAUUCCUGGUGUAGCGGUGAAAUGCGUAGAUAUCUGGAGGAACACCGGUGGCGAAGGCGGCAUCCUGGACCGGCAUUGACGCUGAGGAGCGAAAGCCAGGGGAGCAAACGGG